rnacentral:lncRNA from 1 species
AUUCCAUUUAUUUCUCUUUUUUAAACAAACAAAAUGACCUGUCCAUAAACUAUACCUCUGUACAGUAUUCUUGCAAAGAAUUUCCGUUUCCCAGGAAUCAUGAUGUGAGUUUAGAUUGCUUGGCUCUAGCAGUAGGUUUGGUGAAGAAGUUCUCUUGUUCUAUUCCUACUCUAUCUGGACAUAUAAUAGUCUUCACAGACAGCACAAGAUCAUCUCAGACAAUCUCUUCUUUUGGUGCCUUUCUGCCAGAAGACAUUCAAGGACUCCAGUUCAGACUUUGUCUUCACAAUCAAAAAAACCAGUUUUGCUGCAGAAAGGCUGUCAGAGUGGCCGUGUUGAUUUUCUUAAUCCCACCUAGGACCCUGCCUAUUCCCUAUGCCCGAAUGGAUCUUAUGCUCCAACUUGGAUGA